GACGAAGGAUGCAAGCGUUAUCCGGAUUCAUUGGGUUUAAAGGGAGCGUAGGAUGGUCUUAUAAGUCAGUGGUGAAAUCUCUGGGCUUAACCCAGAAAUUGCCAUUGAUACUGUAGGACUUGAGUAUAGUUGCCGUUGGCGGAAUAUGACAUGUAGUGGUGAAAUACAUAGAGAUGUCAUAGAACACCGAUUGCGAAGGCAGCUGACGAAACUAUAACUGACACUGAGGCUCGAAAGUGCGGGGAUCAAACAGG
rnacentral:rRNA from 1 species